UACGUAGGGUGCAAGCGUUAAUCGGAAUUACUGGGCGUAAAGCGUGCGCAGGCGGUGAUGUAAGACAGAUGUGAAAUCCCCGGGCUCAACCUGGGAACUGCAUUUGAGACUGCAUCGCUAGAGUACGGCAGAGGGGGAUGGAAUUCCGCGUGUAGCAGUGAAAUGCGUAGAUAUGCGGAGGAACACCGAUGGCGAAGGCAAUCCCCUGGGCCUGUACUGACGCUCAUGCACGAAAGCGUGGGGAGCAAACAGG
rnacentral:rRNA from 1 species